AAAAAGUUGCAGGGUUGGACCCUGGUUAGGUUAAGUACUUCCACAUUGUUCAUUGAGCAUGAAAAUUCUGUGAGAAUUACUGCAAGAAAAUCAAAUAACGAAUUUCUACAUUUUCAGCAAAUGUCUUGAGCUAAUCAGCCCAGAAUCUAAUUUGCUCUAAUCAGCCCAAGGUGGAUGGAAUGUGAAACAGAUGACCUUAGUGUUUAAGAACAGAAGCUGUGAAAACUUUUCCUAACAUGAUCCUACUUUGCCUUCUGGAUGAAGAGUAUGACUGAUGCCUUUUCUUCCCCAGUGCAGAAGUAUAUCUGUGGAGUAGAGAGACUAGAUUCUGCAGCACAAGGGAGAAUAACUUCAUUUUAUGAAUAGUGAAUCCUUGUAUAAUGUCAUCUUCACAUAAUCUCUAUUUUGCUGCCCUGAAAGAGAUUUUAUUUCAGUAAAUGUGCAGACCACCACUACAGUGAGACUGUACUGACUAAAAGAAGUGGUGUUACAAGUGUAAUUGUUGUUUUAAAGCACGCUAUUGAAGUGUACUAAUUAUUCUGUUCUUCUAUCUGUCUAAUUAACAGCUCUUGGGUUGCUUAUUUCUGCCACAAAGAAUGGUUUUACCUCAGGUCACCACCACACCAUCUGGCAGAUGUGGGCAUUGUAGCCAAAGCAGACACCUAUGAAUUAUUGUCAUAGUUAUACGUAGGAUACACAUUGUAGUUACAGUCAUGGUUAGGGUAUAAUUCAUAUUUACUUACCCUGAAUACCAAGAGGAUCAUACUACAAUAGUGUAGCCAGCAACAUAUAUAUAUGUGUAUAUUGGCAUAGCCAAACACAGCAUAUAAGCUU
rnacentral:lncRNA from 1 species